AAGGCCUUAGUUUAACAAAAACAUUUGAUUUGCAGUUAUAAAAUGCAAGAUAGAGUCUUGUAGGUCUUA
rnacentral:tRNA from 1 species